GGAGGGUGUGGGGGUAGUGGGGGAUGCUGUGGGCUGCAGGGGUGGGUGGGGAGGAGAAGACUCAGACAAGAGGGCAAGUGGAGCUUGGGGCUGUCCAGGAGGUGGCAAGGGGCCAAGGACAGCUGCCACAUCCUGGACUGGCAGGGGUGGGACUGGGGUGAGGGAAGGGGCGGACGCUGCCAACCACCCACCUCCGUGUAGAGCCUGCAGAGAACUGUGGCCCAGCCUCCCGUGCCACCUACCUUCUGACAGGUCUCCAGGAACUCUUCAAUGGUCACUACCCCAUCCUGGUUCCGGUCCAUUUUCUGCAACCCAAGCCAUGCCCAAAGCUCCCCUCCCUAGGCAGGGCUGGCGCUCACUCACCUCGAAGAACCUCUCCACGUGCUCCGCCGGCGCGUCCUCCCGCAGGAUGGGGUAGGUGUGGCGGCCCAUCAUGUCAUAGAUGGACUUCAUGAUGGCCAGCAUCUCCUGGAGGGGGAGGCUGGCAUGAGCCUGCUGCAAGGCCGGGGUGGCUGUGAGGGCCCAAAGGGAGCGGGCGGCAUCCAAGGGUGCAGGGCACCUCCAAGGCAGUGAGUGCGAGGGGCCGGACGAGCUGGAGAGAGAAGCCUGUCCGCUUCCAGGGCACCCAGAGCGAGCUUCUGACUCUAGGGGAAGCUCAUCUCCCAGAGAAGUGGGAGAUCGAUUGCUAUGUGCUUAUCUCCAAAAUGUGACGCGGCAGCAGAAAAAGUGCUUGGACCAAACAAAACCUGUCUGUGGGCCCAUGUGGGAGGGCUCCCCUCUCCACCCAUGCCUUAAGGGACCGCACUGCCCCCUUCACUUGAUGGGGGCCAAGGCCAGGACCUCUGGCUUCUCCACUUAAGUCUCCCCGAGGCCUUUUGUGUAAGACAGUAUGACCCAGAACACUUGCUGAGCUGGACCGAGAUGUGUGGUACAGGGUACCUGAGCCCACACUCCACACCGGGGUGUCCAGGACCGAGCCCAGGAGAGGAGAGCCCACUGGCUGCUGUCCCCGGGACCAGUCUCUGGAUGGACAGCGGGAGAAGACAGAGAUUAAAGGCCCACUUGAGCUUCUCGUGGACUGUGCCCCGCAGCAGGAUGGAGAGGCCAACCACAAAGUCCUAUGGGGAAAGGAGAG